rnacentral:rRNA from 1 species
UACGGGGGGGGCAAGCGUUGUUCGGAAUUACUGGGCGUAAAGGGCUCGUAGGCGGCCAACUAAGUCGGAUGUGAAAUCCCCAGGCUUAACCUGGGAACUGCAUCCGAUACUGGAUGGCUUGAAUCCGGGAGAGGGAUGCAGAAUUCCAGGUGUAGCGGUGAAAUGCGUAGAUAUCGGGAGGAACAUCAGUGGCGAAGGCGGCCUUCUGGUCCAGUACUGACACUCAAGUGCGAAAGCGUGGGGAGCAAACAGG